rnacentral:rRNA from 1 species
AGUAACGCGUAGGCAACCUGCCCUUGUGAAUGGGAUAACCCCGGGAAACCGGAGCUAAUACCGUAUAACAUCUUUUUAAUACCUGUUAGAGAGAUCAAAGAUGCUUUUGUAUCGCGCAAGGAUGGGCCUGCGUUCCAUUAGUUAGUUGGUAAGGUAACGGCUUACCAAGACAGCGAUGGAUAGCUGAUCUGAGAGGGUGAUCAGCCACACUGGGACUGAGAUACGGCCCAG